UACAGAGGUGGCAAGCGUUGUUCGGAAUUACUGGGCGUGAAGGGCGCGUAGGCGGCCUUCUAAGUCGAACGUGAAAUCCCCGGGCUCAACCCGGGAACUGCGUCCGAUACUGGAAGGCUUGAAUCCGGGAGAGGGAUGUGGAAUUCCAGGUGUAGCGGUGAAAUGCGUAGAUAUCGGGAGGAACACCUGUGGCGAAAGCGGCUCACUGGACCAUAACUGACGCUGAUGCGCGAAAGCUAGGGGAGCAAACAGG
rnacentral:rRNA from 1 species